GACAGAGGUGCCAAGCGUUAGGCGGAAUCACUGGGCUUAAAGCGUGUGUAGGCGGAAUGGUAAGUACCUUGUGAAAUCCCACGGCUCAACCGUGGAACUGCUUGGUAUACUGCUUUUCUUGAGCCACUUAGGGGCAACCGGAACAAACGGUGGAGCGGUGAAAUGCGUAGAUAUCGUGUGGAACGCCAAUGGUGAAAACAGGUUGCUGGGAGUGUGCUGACGCUGAGACACGAAAGCCAGGGGAGCAAACGGG
rnacentral:rRNA from 1 species